CACGCUGUUCAUUCGCUUCAACAUUUUGCUUUGAUAUUUUACCUCAGCAUUAAUAAUUAACGUCAGCGUUAUAUAUUUUUCCUUAGGUUUUGUUGAUAAUCGCCUCCACACUGAAAUGUUACUGACGGAUUUUUUACAGAGACUGUUUGAUGAGAUGAACUAAAACUCCAAGCUUGUUGUGUCUGAGAUCACACAUUUUCCCAAGUCUUUUCUUGACCCUGAUGUGUUCACUGCACUUAGAUUUACCUCCAAAAAUACCUCAAGAUAUGGCCUUUAAAGGAAGUAAUAAGAAAACAUUAUCUGGUCAUCGUAAGACAUAUCAUGAAGAAAUGAAGAAGCAAAAUUACCAGUGCUCAGGUUGUGGGAAGAGAUUUAGUUACCCAAGUCAUCUGAAAAUACAUCAGCGCAUUCACACAGGAGAGAAGCCGUAUCACUGCGCACAGUGUGGGAAGAGUUUUACUUCAGCUAGGUCUCUCCAAACACACCAGCGCAUUCACACAGGAGAGAAGCCGUAUUACUGCACACAGUGCGGGAACAGUUUUACUGCAGCUAGUUCUCUCAAAAAACACCAGCGCAUUCACACUGGAGAGAAGCCGUAUCGCUGCUUACAGUGUGGGAAGAGUUUUACUGCAGCUACUAGUUUUCAAAUACACCAGCGCAUUCACACAGGAGAGAAGCCGUAUCACUGCACACGGUGUGGGAGGAGUUUUACACAGGCAUGUCACCUGCAAAUUCACCAGCGCAUUCACACAGGAGAGAAGCCGUAUUACUGCUUACAGUGUGGGAAGAGUUUUACUGCAGCUAGUUAUCUCCAAAUACACCAGCGGAUUCACACAGGAGAGAAGCCGUAUCACUGCUCACAGUGUGGGAAGAGUUUUACACGGGCAGGUCACCUAAAAAUUCAUCAGCGCAUUCACACAGGAGAGAGGCCGUAUCAGUGCUCACAGUGUGGGAGGAGUUUUACUGCAGCUAGUUCUCUCCAAACACACCAGCGCAUUCACACUGGAGAGAAGCCGUAUCAGUUUUAGACAUGUAGGUCAAUUCAGAAGACACCAGUGCUUCCACACAGGAGAGAAUCCAUAACACAAUUACAAUAUGGGACGUGUUGUAUGCACUGCAGUCACUCCUAAAUAUGCCUGUCAACAUUUCAUCAGAAGGGUCAAUUUAUUGGGCUGCAUCAAGCUAAGAAAACAACUGGAGAGAUUUGAAAUGACUGGAAAAGGAUUAAGAAACUAUAAAGAAAUAUAAAUACUUGUAGGGAUAGUGUUGAACCAUCAACUUUUUGGAAGAAAUAUCGGAAAAAAAUCAAGAAUUGAGACCACAUAAACACUUUAUAAAGUUACAUGGCAAACAAAUCAACAACAACAAAUGAGGGGAUGCUUAAUAACGGAAGGAAAGAAAGCAUUUCCAUACACAUAAUGUGUUGACAACUCACAGGAUUGGGACUAAACUGCUGUGUGUCCAUAAGAAAACCACUUAAUAGCGAGAACCAUCAGAAAGACUUGAAUUUGCUGGGGAUCAUAAAGAUUUGACAUUGGAGAAAUGGAAAAGGGCCAUGUGGCCUGAAAAUUCCAGAUUGAUAAUUCAUGAGUGAUCAGGAAUGUUGUCACACGAUGGGGCACUAAGCAGAAGAUGGUAGAGAGGGUGCUGGAGCACCUCCCAGCCAUAAGACGUGUCCUGGUUGAAGACAAAAAACAUAGCCAUCUCAACCCAACCUGGCAGGAUGUUGCUGUGUUGGAGUCUAUCAACGCAGCAAUGAAACCACUGGCUGACUUCACAGACAUCCUCUCAGGGGAAAAAUACAUCACGGUGUCUUCGGUUAAGCCUGUGUUGGAACUAAUUAAAGACGACCUUCUCUUUCCAGGCCCUGAUGACACUGCACUGACAGACAGUAUUAAACAAAACAUGUGCAGGGUACUGACUGAAAAAUACAGCUUACCUGCAAUCAAUGUCCUACUUAGAAAGGCCACCAUCUUGGAUCCAAGGUAUCGUGGCAGCAUGGAGGAGGCAGAUGCAUUGGAUGAUGUCAAACAUCAGCUUGUGCAAGAGCUACUGGACUUAGGACAAGAAGAAAGUGGAGAAGGUACAAGUGGUGAGAGCUGCAGCAAGGCCACUGGAGGAAACGAGGAUGAACCUACUGCUGCCGCACUCACCAAGAAGAGGCUGAGUGACCUUCUUCAAAACAGAAGAGCUCGUAAUCUCAGUCAGGCCCAGGCUGCAUUUCCAAAAAGAGUGCUGGCUGAUGCAGAGCUGACUAAGUUCCUCCAAGAGGAUGCAAUUGAUGCAUCUUGUGAUCCCUUGGUGUGGUGGCAUGACAAUCAAAGAAGAUAUCCUUUGAUGGCCAAGUUGGCCCAAAAAUACAUGUGCAUUUGUGCUACAAGCACCAGCUCUGAGAGAAUGUUUAGCACAGCUGGCAACAUUGCUACUCCUGAGGGAUCCUGCCUUAAGCCACACAAAGUCAACAUGUUGGUAUUUCUUGCACGGAAUCUGCCAUGAAAUCACUAUCUCUCUCUCUCAUUAUUGGUGCACAUAGACUGCAAUUCACUUUUUUUGCUGGAGAAAUUAUUUUUCAAAAGUUUUUUGCAUAUGGCUUGAGGCUUUUUGUUUGUUCGUUUACAAAGGUCCUAACAGGCAGUUUUGCCUGUUAUGGAAUGCAUGUUGAGCCUAUUGUUUAAUAUUUUUUGAAGUGCAAUUUUGUUUACAUCCAUUUUAUUUAUUGUUUUUGGUAUUUAUUCAAGUGCAUUUUUUGUUAACAGAGACUGAGAGUCCAUUGCUUUUAUUGUUUUUGGUAGUUUUGUUCAUUGUUAUUGUGGAUAUUUAAAAUGUUUUCCAUUUUCAGUGUUAAGUAGUCUAAAAAUAAACGUUUUUGAAUUUUGAAAGGCGUAUGUGCAUUAUGCCAUUAUCAUUAUUCUAGGUGAAAAUGGUCUCAGAUCGACAAUAUUAUCGUUUAUCGCAAUAAUUUCUUAAAAAUUUAUCGUCCAGCAAAAUUUGUUAUCGUGACAGGCUUACAUCCGCCUUAAAUUAUACAUGUUUAAAAGCAUAAACACCAUUAUUUUCUACGAUGCAACGAAUGAUUUAGGGAUCAUCGCUAAAUGCCGCACACCAACAAAAAGCGUAGAACGAUAUUGAUCUUCCCUUUUGUUCAGCGCCUGAAGAAUCAAAAAGCAACUUUGUUACCACACUGGAAACUAGAAAUGCCAGACUAGAACUGCCUAACAAAAAUACAGAAACAUCAGCAUACACAUUGGAAUAAAUGAAAUGACAUAUAUAAUACCGAAUGUUUCUUUAUAUAUUGUUCCUCUGGAAUUAACAUGCCGACGUUAAACCGUUAUUGUUGCACUAUGGUUCCACUUUUUUUCUGAUGUUAUUUUAAUUUACUUGUAUUAAUGAUCCAUUUCUUUGCGUGUGAUUGUUUAGUUUCGAGUGUCCAAUCUUUAUUGUCAAUAAAAAAAGGCAUGAAUUAGAAUAGGUACUUUCCUAUUAUUUUCCACUAAUUCCCUCCCGUUCAUUGCGCGCCCCACACUUUGAGAACCAUGGGUGUAAACCAACAUCGAGUACUUGUUUGUUGAGUUUCACAUGAAGGGCCUUCUUUGCACUUAUUAAAAGAUGUUUUUUUUGUUUGUUUUGCAUGCAAUAUAUGUAGGCUUUGCAGAAACUUGGGGAAAAAAACUGUAUUUGAUAGGAAAAAAAUUGGGUAAAUUAUGUUAAUUUUUUUAACAUAAUUUUGUUAAUAUGGUAAAAUAACUAAUGUUUAGUUGGUAUUAUUGACCUUAAGGGCAAGAUCUUGCAUUUUCCUUUUAAAUAUUUAUAUUUUUAAGAUUGAUACAGUGAGAACUUUUUUUUUCCUUUUAUAUUUUUGUGGGUGACAUGAUUUGUUUUUCUUAUGUAAAUGUUACGUCCUUGGACGUAUUUGCUUUUUUCUCUCCCUCUCUUUCACCCCUCUACUCACAAGUAGGAAGAAAUGGCUACCACCUGACCUCAAUGAUUGGCUGUGCCCACUGAUUGGAGGAUGAGAGAGAGCAAUUAGGAUUUAAACAGCAUUGCUAACACAGCCCAGGUUGGCUGUGUGUGUGAGAGCGCAUCCUGUGAGGAUUCAGUUUUGGUCCUAAGAAUUCUCUAGUUGGAAGUUGGAUCCUUUGAGUGGAGUUAAGUUAACUUACUUCUGUUAUAUUUAUCGUUAUAGUUAAGAAAACUAGUCUUUCUUUGUAAGUUAUCUUUGUUUGUGAUGAGGCCUUAAGUUUUUGCUAACUGUUAAUUCAGUUUGGGAUUUAGUAGAGAGGGGGUGCCAUUUUUGUUCUUGAGUCUGUUUCUUUCCUGUUUGUUAGUUAGGGUAUUUUUAUGUACUUUUGUCUCUUUCUAUUGGCAGGUUAGUUAGAUUCUGUUUACCAGUUAUAGGUGUUUUUGUUUGUUGUUUUGGCCUGAGCUCCCCUCUUGAAAUCUCUAAACCCUGUUUUUAGCCUCCUCACAAUGAACAUGGUAAGUUUUUCACCUAUUUCGGUUGCAACGUGUGUUUAAUUUGUUCUUUAACCUAUGAAGGUUGUUGAUUGGUCAGCAGUGCUACCCCACACACGCACAGCUUCCGCAUUAUUUUGUUGCAUGCCGUCUCUCCCUUAUAGAUGUAAAAAUAUGGCUUCGAACAGUAAAACAUGUCCAGAAUACUGUUGAAAGAAAAGUUGAAGAUAACCAACUUUUAAUGUUUUUUGUUCCCCCCUUUUUUAAAUGUCAAAGUUGACAGUAAGGUUUGAAAAGGAAGAAGAAAAAAAAAAAAAUGUUGCAUAUUAUGUAGUCUGUCUUUUGUAUUGUUGGACCAUCAUAUUCUCAAUUUCUCGAUUUCUGUGCUGCAUUUCAAACAGUGCCAUUUGUUAUUAAAAUGCUUGUGACAUUAAUGUUGUGAAUAAAGGACCUUACAAAUGUUAGUUGAGUUUACUAAAGUCAUUUGUGUGGAACUUGACAAGAAAAAUUAAUUAAACCCAACAUUUAUUUUUUUUGUGUGUGAAUUAGAUU